CCCUCUCUCUCCCCUUCCAGAUUCGACGCAGUUUCUAAGAAACAUUCUUCACUCGUUAGACAUCCACCUCAACAAAAUGCCCGAGAAGUAUUCAGUCACAUCACUUCUGGACACAUGGGAGAUGUGUGUUCGCCAAGCCUGCUCCUUACCAGACACCAUGGUGACGGCUGGAAGAGAUUGAUGUAGACUUAUGCUUAAGUUGACCCACUUUCUCAGGACCUGAUAUCGAUCACCGUGAACACUGCCUGUCAGCGUGUCACCAGCGCACAGGGCGUCAAAACGUCUUCAUUUUUUGUCUGGCUGGCCCACUUGUACCUUGAUUGUAAAUAUUGUUCAUUGUUGCAGAGACAAAAAUACAUCUUUGUUCACCACAU
rnacentral:lncRNA from 1 species